rnacentral:rRNA from 1 species
CGGUAGCUAAAUGCGGAAGAGAUAAGUGCUGAAAGCAUCUAAGCACGAAACUUGCCCCGAGAUGAGUUCUCCCUGACCCCUUGAGGGUCCUGAAGGAACGUUGAAGACGACGACGUUGAUAGGCCGGGUGUGUAAGCGCAGCGAUGCGUUGAGCUAACCGGUACUAAUGAACCGUGAGGCUUAACCUUACAACGCCGAAGCUGUU